UUUGAUUAACCUGCAUAAUGAUUUUGAGUAUAAAAGAGAUUUCAGAAUUCAAACAAGGAAAAUCAUUAUGCAGAUGAAAAAUUGAUUUUAUUAUGGUGUUGGAUCAUUAUGUUCAAUGGGUUUGAUUAACCUGCAUAAUGAUUUUGAGUAUAAAAGAGAUUUCAGAAUUCAAACAAGGAAAAUCAUUAUGCAGAUGAAAAAUUGAUUUUAUUCUCUUUUUAGGGUUUUAUGGUGAUCUCCAAUUUCAUGCAAAAGGCAAAAAGGAGAAAUAAU
rnacentral:lncRNA from 1 species